CUUGGAUCUCGCCUUUUCGUCUCGCAUCAAAGAGGUCCCAGAUACAGAAGAAAGACCUUUAAGCAAGUCCGAGUCACCCAGAAUGGUGAAAAACACAGUGCACUUCAAAGGGGAUAGCAGUGGGUCUGUGUUACUGGAAGAAACGGAGGAGAGCAAGAGCACUGCAGCCUACCAAACCCCUGGGACCAGUGACAAAGCCAGCAAGCGAAAAGUGUUGUUGCUUGAUAUGCUGAGUCUGCCCAAGGAGAGUGACUGUGGUUCCCAGAAGAGGCUGGCUUCCCAGGAGACUGCUGCAAACCCGCUGCAGCAGCUCCAGCUCUUCGUUGCCCGGACUGUGAAGAACAACGAAGACGAGCUGUUGAUGCCAUGCUUCCCCAUGCUUCUUGCUCCCAACCACCCCGCUCCCAGUGCCAGGGUCCAGCCGGAGCAGAAAGAGGAGAGCAGCGGCAACUUGGAAAGUGAAAAUCGGACAUGCUGCCCUGCCCAAGGGGAGGGGAAUGUCCCCAUUGGAGGUGAGGCAGAGAGCAUAGCUACCCCAUCCAAAGAGGCUGCAGUCUUCUCAGGUGCACGUGAGCAGCUGGAAUCAUUCAGUGAAAUGGACUCUUACAGUGCAAAACAAACCACAUUUGUGAACCUGGAGCUGCAGAAUAAUGUAACAGAGCUGCAGCACUUAGCAAAUGAACAUGCAGAGCAGAAUGACAUUAAUAUCUGUGCAGAUGGUGUUUCCCAAGAGCAUAAUGACCUCUCACCACUUCACAACACAGGGGCGACCCCAUUGCCAGGGCAGGGAAAGAAAGCUGAUCAGCUUGUGGAAGAGCAGGAGCAAGAUAAAAACAAAGYGACCUUGGCAUUUAAAAAACAUGAGCAAUCCCUUUUAAGCCAUAGUUCACUUGAGAAAGAAACGUUGGGCAGUGCAGCAGCAGAGAGGCUGGAAACAAAUGAGGCUGAAUGUAGAUCCUGGUGUGAGGGAUCUAACCCAGAUGUACAGUCAUUAGGCUCCAUAAAAAACAAACGGAUAGGACCAGGCAGAAAUCAAGUAGGGCAUGGGACACAGCCCCUGUGCAGCGCCUCUGUGAGUCCUGCCAGCCCAUUGAAUCCCUCAGAUGAUCUCCACCAGGAUCAUCAUUUGUUGCAGGACACAAAAGCCUGCACAGUAAAUGCUAAGGUACCCGAAGAAGGAAAUAGCAAGAAAAAGUCCCUCAAUGGCUGUCACUACACAAGCGAUUCUCUGGCCAGCCUGCCCUUGCAAACAAACUUGUCUCAUCCUAAAUGCUUGCAAAGCAACGGUACUGAAGGAGGAGAGUUCCCCAGCUUCAGCACUCAGUUAUCAGAGGACAAUAAAU
rnacentral:lncRNA from 1 species